GUGCCCGCAGGAGAUGGCGUUCCUCCCCUAACCACCGCGCUGCGCGCGGUUGAUGACGCCUACAGACAC
rnacentral:ncRNA from 2 species